GGGGCGGGGCAGUACAGCGUCAGUAACAGGAAAGCGCAGCAACAGAGGGUGUUAUUUAGUAAUCUCACCCCCCCCCCAUUCCCCAAAGCUCUGUGCCUCUGCAGGUCCUCUCCCCAGAUUGGAAAAGAACACCAUCUCUGCCACCACCCUCCCCAACCCCUUGACAUCCUCUCUCUCUCUCUCUCUCCUUCUCUGUCUCUGUCGCUGUCCCUGUGCUGCUGCGACGCAGAGCUCGGCAAUGGGCGUUCUGCGCCACCUCCGGCUGUCUGCUUUCUUAGCCGUCUUCAUCUUCGCGGCUGUUCUUGGGAGCGCAUUGGUGGGAAUCGCGCAGGAAAUGGGAGACGCAAGGCUUCGACCUCGGGAACGGGAGCGAGUGGUGGCUCGGAGGCUCCUCCUCGGCCUCGGGUCGUCGCCGCCGACAUGCCGGGCUCGUUGCGGCCGCUGCUUUCCCUGUCGGCCGGUCCACGUGGCCAUCCAUCCUGGCCGGAACCUCCCGCUCGAGUACUACCCGGAGGCAUGGCGAUGCAAAUGCGGCAACAACCUCUUCAUGCCCUGAGACCAACGACAGAAUCCCAGAAGGAGAAAUGGAGAAUGACAAAAAGCCAUUGGCUUCCACCAUUGAUGAGUUCUCUGUAACAUUUUGUGGACAUCUAAGCGUACGCGAUUCGAAUCUGC